rnacentral:rRNA from 1 species
GACGUAGGGGGCCAGCGUUGUUCGGAAUUACUGGGGGUAAAGGGUUCGUAGGCGGUGCGGCAAGUUGGGAGUGAAAUCUCUGGGCUUAACCCAGAGGCUGCUUCCAAAACUGCUGUGCUUGAGUGUGGGAGAGGCGCGUGGAAUUGCAGAUGUAGCGGUGAAAUGCGUAGAUAUCUGCAGGAACACCCGUGGCGAAAGCGGCGCGCUGGACCACUACUGACGCUGAGGAACGAAAGCUAGGGGAGCGAACGGG